rnacentral:rRNA from 1 species
UGCCUACGGGAGGCAGCAGUGAGGAAUAUUGGUAAAUGGGCGGGAGCCUGAACCAGCCAAGUCGCGUGAGGGAUGACGGCCCUAUGGGUUGUAAACCUCUUUUGCCGGGGAGCAAAGUGCCGCACGUGUGCGGUUUGGAGAGUACCCGGAGAAAAAGCAUCGGCUAACUCCGUGCCAGCAGCCGCGGUAAUACGGAGGAUGCGAGCGUUAUCCGGAUUUAUUGGGUUUAAAGGGUGCGUAGGCGGACGCUUAAGUCAGCGGUCAAAGCCCGGGGCUCAACCCCGGCCCGCCGUUGAAACUGGCAG